GCGGUGGUCCCACCUGACCCCAUGCCGAACUCAGAAGUGAAACGCCGUAGCGCCGAUGGUAGUGUGGGGUUUCCCCAUGCGAGAGUAGGGAACUGCCAGGC
rnacentral:rRNA from 3 species